GGCGGGGGGGGGCUAUACAUGCAGUCGAACGAACUUUCUUACACCGAAUGCUUGCAUUCACCGUAAGAAGUUGAGUGGCGGACGGGUGAGUAACACGUGGGUAACCUGCCUAAAAGAAGGGGAUAACACUUGGAAACAGGUGCUAAUACCGUAUAUCUCUAAGGAUCGCAUGAUCCUUAGAUGAAAGAUGGUUCUGCUAUCGCUUUUAGAUGGACCCGCGGCGUAUUAACUAGUUGGUGGGGUAACGGCCUACCAAGGUGAUGAUACGUAGCCGAACUGAGAGGUUGAUCGGCCACAUUGGGACUGAGACACGGCCCAAACUCCUACGGGAGGCAGCAGUAGGGAAUCUUCCACAAUGGACGCAAGUCUGAUGGAGCAACGCCGCGUGAGUGAAGAAGGUCUUCGGAUCGUAAAACUCUGUUGUUAGAGAAGAACACGAGUGAGAGUAACUGUUCAUUCGAUGACGGUAUCUAACCAGCAAGUCACGGCUAACUACGUGCCAGCAGCCGCGGUAAUACGUAGGUGGCAAGCGUUGUCCGGAUUUAUUGGGCGUAAAGGGAACGCAGGCGGUCUUUUAAGUCUGAUGUGAAAGCCUUCGGCUUAACCGGAGUAGUGCAUUGGAAACUGGAAGACUUGAGUGCAGAAGAGGAGAGUGGAACUCCAUGUGUAGCGGUGAAAUGCGUAGAUAUAUGGAAGAACACCAGUGGCGAAAGCGGCUCUCUGGUCUGUAACUGACGCUGAGGUUCGAAAGCGUGGGUAGCAAACAGGAUUAGAUACCCUGGUAGUCCACGCCGUAAACGAUGAAUGCUAGGUGUUGGAGGGUUUCCGCCCUUCAGUGCCGCAGCUACGCAAUAAGCAUUCCGCCUGGGGGAGUACGACCGCCAGGUUGAAACUCAAGGGAUUUGACGGGGGCCCGCACAGCGGGUGGGAGCAUGUGGGUUUAUUUCGAAGCAACGCGAAGAAGCCUAACAGGGUCUUGACAUCCUGUUGACCACGUAAGAGAUUAGGCUAUU
rnacentral:rRNA from 2 species